UAAGGAAUAUUGGUCAAUGGGCGCAAGCCUGAACCAGCCAUGCCGCGUGCAGGAAGACGGCCCUACGGGUUGUAAACUGCUUUUGUACCGGAAUAAACUUUGAUACGUGUAUCAAGCUGAAUGUACGGUAAGAAUAAGGAUCGGCUAACUCCGUGCCAGCAGCCGCGGUAAUACGGAGGAUCCAAGCGUUAUCCGGAUUUAUUGGGUUUAAAGGGUGCGUAGGUGGCCUAUUAAGUCAGGGGUGAAAGACGGUAGCUCAACUAUCGCAGUGCCUUUGAUACUGAUGGGCUUGAAUACAGUUGAAGUGGGCGGAAUGUGACAAGUAGCGGUGAAAUGCAUAGAUAUGUCACAGAACACCGAUUGCGAAGGCAGCUCACUAAAGUGUGAUUGACACUGAGGCACGAAAGCGUGGGGAUCAAACAG
rnacentral:rRNA from 1 species